rnacentral:rRNA from 1 species
UCUGGUCUUGGGACACUGUCAGGUGGGCAGUUUGACUGGGGCGGUCGCCUCCCAAAAGGUAACGGAGGCGCUCAAAGGUUCUCUCAGUACGGUCGGAAAUCGUACGUAGAGUGUAAAGGCAAAAGAGAGCUUGAUUGCAAGACAUACAGGGCGAGCAAGGAUGAAAAUCGGACUUAGUGAUCCGGUGGUUCUGCGUGGAAGGGCCAUCGCUCAACGGA